GCCUGGCUAGCUCAAUCGGUAGAGCGUGAGACUUUUACGAAACAUUGAUUUCGGAGCGGUUAUCUCAAGGCUGCGGGUUCGAGCCCCGCGUCGGGCU